CCGAGUGAGGGCCCUCUGGGUCCAACCUCCCACCCGUGUUUACCGUACCCUGUUGCUUCGGCGGGCCCGCCCUCAGCGGCCGCCGGGAUGGCCCCUUGCGCCUCCGGGCCCGCGCCCGCCGAAGACACCUUGAACUCUGUAUGAAAAUUGCAGUCUGAGUCUAAAUAUAAAUUAUUUA
rnacentral:misc_RNA from 1 species